CGGAACCACAGAGAGAAACAAAGAAUGAAUGGACUAUGGCAACCAUGAGGUGCAUGGGAUACAUAAGAAAACCGAAAAUGAUAAACACUAUUUCAAAACAUGCAGCAGAGGACCCCAAAAGGAGAAAAAGCUUCAUGACCAGAGUGUGUGGAUCCCUGAAAGAGGGACAACACGUAAAAGCAAAGAAACUCAAAGGAAAUUUCCCCCAACAGCUCAGCUCUUCUGCAA